GACGAACGCUGGCGGCGUGCUUAACACAUGCAAGUCGAACGGAGAAUUUUACUUUGGUGAAAUUCUUAGUGGCGAACGGGUGAGUAACGCGUAGACAACCUGCCUCUUAGAUGGGGACAACAUCGCGAAAGCGGUGCUAAUACCGAAUGAAGUGGAGUUUCCGCAUGGAAGCAUCACCAAAGGUGGCCUCUAUUUAUAAGCUACCACUGAGAGAUGGGUCUGCGUCUGAUUAGCUAGUUGGCGGGGUAAUGGCCUACCAAGGCGACGAUCAGUAGCCGGUCUGAGAGGAUGAACGGCCACAUUGGGACUGAGACACGGCCCAAACUCCUACGGGAGGCAGCAGUGGGGAAUCUUCCGCAAUGGACGAAAGUCUGACGGAGCAACGCCGCGUGAGUGAAGAAGGUUUUCGGAUCGUAAAGCUCUGUUGUUUGAGACGAAUGUGCAGACUUUGAAUAAGGGUUUGUAAUGACGGUAUUAAACGAGAAAGCCACGGCUAACUACGUGCCAGCCACCGCAGUAACAC
rnacentral:rRNA from 1 species